AGAGUUUGAUCAUGGCUCAGAUUGAACGCUGGCGGCGUGCCUAACACAUGCAAGUCGAGCGGUAACAGGUGUAGCAAUACAUGCUGACGAGCGGCGAACGGGUGAGUAAUGCUUUGGAAUCUUCCCAGUAGUGGGGAAUAACCAGUCGAAAGAUUGGCUAAUACCGCAUACGUCUGAAAAGGGAAAGCGGGGGCUCGUAAGACCUCGCGCUAUUGGAUGAGCCAAAGUCGGAUUAGCUAGUUGGUGGGGUAAUGGCCUACCAAGGCGACAAUCCGUAGCUGGUCUGAGAGGACGACCAGCCACACCGGAACUGAGACACGGUCCGGACUCCUACGGGAGGCAGCAGUGGGGAAUAUUGGACAAUGGGGGAAACCCUGAUCCAGCGACGCCGCGUGUGUGAAGAAGGCCUGCGGGUUGUAAAGCACUUUUAGUGGGGACAAAAAGCUACGGACUAAUACUCUGUGGUCUUGAUUUAACCCAAAGAAAAAGCACCGGCUAACUCUGUGCCAGCAGCCGCGGUAAUACAGAGGGUGCGAGCGUUAAUCGGAAUUACUGGGCGUAAAGCGCGCGUAGACGGUUUUGUAAGUCAGAUGUGAAAUCCCUGGGCUCAACCUGGGAACUGCAUUUGAAACUGCAUGGCUAGAGUAUGGAAGAGGGAAGUGGAAUUUCCCGGUGUAGCGGUGAAAUGCGUAGAUAUCGGAAGGAACACCAGUGGCGAAAGCGACUUCCUGGUCCAAUACUGACGUUCAUGUGCGAAAGCGUGGGGAGCAAACAGGAUUAGAUACCCUGGUAGUCCACGCCAUAAACGAUGACACUAGAUGUUGGGAGGGUCUGCCUCUCGUGUCGCAGCUAACGCGUUAAGUUGUCCGCCUGGGGGAGUACGCCGCAAGUUGAAACUCAAGGAAUUGACGGGACCCGCCACAGCGGUGGGAGCAUGUGGUUUA
rnacentral:rRNA from 1 species